rnacentral:sRNA from 1 species
ACUCCAUUUGGAUGUAUUUCUUGGAGACUUUCUCGUUGAGCUGGCAGCCACUGUCAUUCAGAACAAAAAGAAGUUGGCAAAGCGACCAGAUUUAACUGAUAGCGAGGUCCUGGCUUUGGCAGCAGAACUGAAAGAGAAAAUAGCAACCAAAGCGGACGCUAAACCUAAGGAGGUCAAAGUCGAUGCAGUUACUGCGAGGUUGACAGAUACCAAGGCUUAUACAGGAACUCACAAAGAACGAUUCGAUGAUUCGGGAAAAGGAAAGGGAAUCGCUGGAAGAAAAAAUCUUGUUGACGAUUCCGGUUACGUCACAGGUUACAAAGGUCAAGGGUCAAGCGAUGAUCAGCAGGGUGCCAGCCCCAGCAAGUGAUGUAUGAAAUAGAAAAACAUCUAACGAACCGCCUUAGAAGCAGCAAACAAUUACAGCUAUAACAUAAACUAACUAUAUGGAGCAAUAUCAAACUGACGCAGGGAAUAUACGCCUAACUCUGAACAUUGUGUUCAUUAUUUGUAGAUAUAAACUCCAUGUGUAAGUGUACUAGGCCAUUUCAUUUUUUAAAUAUCAUCCAGUGAAUGUGAUUUUAAAAAAAAUAUGUCUCAUUAUUUUUGUUUAAGUGUAUAUUUGUUCUAGUUUCAAAGUGUCUACCAAAUGCUGCAGCCUACUUCUAACACUAAGCAUACUUUUAAAAAGUACUUUUGAAAAUUCGAUAAGCCUAUAAUGAUCUCAUAUUCACGUGCAAUGACGUCACCAAACCUCAUUCCAGACUUCAUUUACAUAUUCCUCCACUGGGACCUAAACACAUUGGAUUGUGUAGUUUGAUCGUGUCAAUGUUACUUGGUGUUCCUCUUCUGCUAGUUCGUGUACACAUUUAUAUUUUGCACAUUAUAUUCAUUAUAUUAUAUUCUAGUUGAUUCGACACCCUUUAUUAACACCACAAUGUACAUAAUAGCCCCCAUAUUGAUAUUUUAUUUUAAUUUGUUUCGUAGUCCAGGGCAGCUUUUCUUUUUUUAAACCAAAGAUUUACUUAUGUCUUCCGUAGAGUUUCUCUCAUUUGUACAUCGACGCUAAGAAAAGCACACAUAUAUAAAGUUCAUCUUUCCAAUAAUGCAAACAAUUUUUUUGUAUAGCUAUAAUGGCUAGGCCUAGACACAUUAGCCCGCAAAGCUGAGUUUCAAUGUAAUUAAAGGCGUGUAAAUAUGGCAUUCAAUACCUUCAUGGAUACCAAGAGGCAGACAUUUCUGAUAUUUCCCCAGUGAUAAUAUAUUUUUUAAGGGUUACAUUUGUCUAAAGGAAUUCGUUUCUAGAUCAGAUCGUCUUAACAAUUCAAUUAUUUGUAGAGAACUAAGAAGUUGUGUACACACACUACAAUCCAUAUAAACCUCGUUCUGAUAUAGAUCUUCAUUCCCGCGCUUUUUAUUUUAUUCUUUGACAUUUUGUCUGUUUACAUCGGACGGAAACUGUUACGGUUGACAAGUUCUUAUUUAUUAUUAUGAUUAUUUUUUUACUUUUUUUUCCUGAGUAUGUAGAAAGAUAAUUUGGCUUGUCAAUUAAAAGUGUUUAAACCAUAUUUGCUGAACCAGGCUUCAAGAUAUUACUAUGAGAUCACAACAUACUGCAAAUUGUGAUGGGUCGCAUUACUUCUUUAUUAUUUUAAGUCUGUUGGGCAACCAACUCAGAUGUGCCACUUCAUAACAGUUCAUUGAUAUAAUUAUCUACAAAAUUAUUAUAUAUCUAUUUCCUUAUCAUUUCUAAGUUGUUUUUUUUCUGUCACAAUGUCUUGAAUUUUUUUUUUAGGAGAUGACUCAAAAAACAAAUAAAUUAGUAUCGCAUAUGAAACAUCUGUCACUGGCCGAUACGUCAGCGGUUCUAAAAAAAGAAAAGAAUGAUCCCUCUUCUUUUCACCAUCAGCUGAACACCCAAGCAUAGUGUAUCUGUUCUAGACCAUACCUUCAACAUUAUGCCUACUUACAGAGCAGGGUUGUUGAACUAAUAAAAGUAUUUCUUCCACAUAGAUCUAGGGACUAGUUCUACAAAGAAUAAUUACAUUUUUAUUUAAUCAUUAAUAGGAAAACAUAAUGUAGCUUAUGACAUUUUUGAGAUUGGUGGGGCAUUUUGCGACACCAAAUUCAUACUAUUUGUCAAGUAUCAAUGUAAUAUUGUUUUAUUUAUUUUAAUAAAUGUCGCCUCUUUGAUAUAUUUCUAAAUGUGUGAAUAGCUUUAAGACUGAGCCAGCUAGGUCAUCAGUGUACAUUUCUCUUAGCCUGUGUGUCUGUUGGAGACAACAAUAUGUACACUUUAAUGUACACUUCAAUAUUUACACUUCAGUAUGUACACUUCAAUAAGCAUUGAGGCUACUCUUGUAUCGAUCGUUGUCUAAUUUUAGCUUAAUGAACACAAUUUAUAAACACCAGUCAAGCAUACAUCCUUCAACACAAAACGCGAAAUACUGGCAGGUAGGGGUGAAUUCUCUUUGAGACAUUAUGGACGCCAUUCUAGUUUGAUUAAUAGAAACAAAUAGAAUUAGAGCCUAUCCUGAAAUCGGCGAAAUAUUUAGUAAACUCAAUUUAGAAAUCUUUUAUACACGUUUUUGUAUUUAAAAAUAAAAAUAAUUCUGAAUGCGAUGCACUUUUGUGUCAAC